rnacentral:rRNA from 1 species
GAGGUAGCUUGCUACUGGACCUAGCGGCGGACGGGUGAGUAAUGCUUAGGAAUCUGCCUAUUAGUGGGGGACAACAUUCCGAAAGGAAUGCUAAUACCGCAUACGUCCUACGGGAGAAAGCAGGGGACCUUCGGGCCUUGCGCUAAUAGAUGAGCCUAAGUCGGAUUAGCUAGUUGGUGGGGUAAAGGCCUACCAAGGCGACGAUCUGUAGCGGGUCUGAGAGGAUGAUCCGCCACACUGGGACUGAGACACGGCCCAGACUCCUACGGGAGGCAGCAGUGGGGAAUAUUGGACAAUGGGGGGAACCCUGAUCCAGCCAUGCCGCGUGUGUGAAGAAGGCCUUAUGGUUGUAAAGCACUUUAAGCGAGGAGGAGGCUACUAGUAUUAAUACUACUGGAUAGUGGACGUUACUCGCAGAAUAAGCACCGGCUAACUCUGUGCCAGCAGCCGCGGUAAUACAGAGGGUGCGAGCGUUAAUCGGAUUUACUGGGCGUAAAGCGUGCGUAGGCGGCCAUUUAAGUCAAAUGUGAAAUCCCCGAGCUUAACUUGGGAAUUGCAUUCGAUACUGGAUGGCUAGAGUAUGGGAGAGGAUGGUAGAAUUCCAGGUGUAGCGGUGAAAUGCGUAGAGAUCUGGAGGAAUACCGAUGGCGAAGGCAGCCAUCUGGCCUAAUACUGACGCUGAGGUACGAAAGCAUGGGGAGCAAACAGGAUUAGAUACCCUGGUAGUCCAUGCCGUAAACGA